ACCUACGGGGCGCAGCAGUGAGGAAUAUUGGUCAAUGGGCGGGAGCCUGAACCAGCCAAGCCGCGUGAGGGAAGAAGGUACAGCGUAUCGUAAACCUCUUUUGUCAGGGAACAAAGACUGGGACGCGUCCCCGGAUGAGUGUACCUGAAGAAAAAGCAUCGGCUAACUCCGUGCCAGCAGCCGCGGUAAUACGGAGGAUGCGAGCGUUAUCCGGAUUUAUUGGGUUUAAAGGGUGCGCAGGCGGUCUGUUAAGUCAGCGGUCAAAGCCCGGGGCUCAACCCCGGCCCGCCGGUGAAACUGGCAGU
rnacentral:rRNA from 1 species